rnacentral:rRNA from 1 species
UACGUAGGGGGCAAGCGUUGUCCGGAAUUAUUGGGCGUAAAGAGCGUGUAGGCGGCCAGAUAAGUCCGCUGUGAAAUCUCGAGGCUCAACUUCGAGCUGUCGGUGGAAACUAUCUGGCUAAAGUCCGGAAGAGGAGAAUGGAAUUCCUGGUGUAGCGGUGAAAUGCGCAGAUAUCAGGAAGAACACCCGUGGCGAAGGCGGUGCUCUGGGACGGUACUGACGCUGAGACGCGAAAGCCAGGGGAGCAAACGGG